GAUAGCAAAACCCUCCGGCAUCUUUCUGGAUCUUUCUGGCAUUUCUCUGGGGAAUGUACGAUUUCAGUUGAUUCCGGCAAAUUAAUGGCAACGUGGGAAUAAUGCCAGAGAUAUUCUGGCUUUUCACUGGAAUGCCACCCAAAUAACAAAAUCGGUGGUGCAGGAGGGCGGAGCUACAGAUACUUUAUGGUUCUUUCCCGGCAAGUUGGAAUAUUACCAGAAAACAUUUUGUUCGGGUGGGGGGGCUUUUUUUUAAACCUAGGGCCCAAGGCAAAGAUGACAGCGGCCCUGCCCUACGGAGACGGUUGACACGCAUGCUCAUUUAGGUGAGACCGACUUCAUCCUAGGAAACUUUUCGGCGGGACAGUACAGUAGUCUAGUAACGAACCUGGACUCGAUCUACUACUGAACUAGGAUAUUGUGCUGUGUAAAUAAUUUGCAUUGAGGAGAGUCCAUCAGCUCACUAACACGGGUGAGGGACAGGGACCAAAGAGGAGGCUCUACAACGUGAGGAAAGACGGCGAUCCUCAAGCAGUCAGUCCAUGAGCCCACGUCUUCAGGCCAGGGG